rnacentral:rRNA from 1 species
UACGGAGGGUGCAAACGUUGCUCGGAAUUAUUGGGCGUAAAGCGCACGUAGGCGGUCUGUUAAGUCGGGGGUGAAAUCCUGGGGCUCAACCUCAGAAUUGCCUCCGAUACUGGCAGUCUCGAGUGCGGGAGAGGUGAGUGGAAUUCCCAGUGUAGAGGUGAAAUUCGUAGAUAUUGGGAAGAACACCAGUGGCGAAGGCGGCUCACUGGCCCGUAACUGACGCUGAGGUGCGAAAGCGUGGGGAGCAAACAGG